UACGUAGGGGGCAAGCGUUGUCCGGAUUUAUUGGGCGUAAAGAGCGUGUAGGCGGCUUGGUAGGUCUCGCGUCAAAACCUGAGGCUCAACCUCAGUUCGCGUGGGAAACCACCCUAGCUAGAGUCCGGAAGAGGAGAACGGAAUUCCCAGUGUAGCGGUGAAAUGCGCAGAUAUUGGGAAGAACACCAGUGGCGAAGGCGGUUCUCUGGGACGGUACUGACGCUGAGACGCGAAAGCGUGGGGAGCGAACAGG
rnacentral:rRNA from 1 species